GGUGGGAUAGCUCAGCUGGUUAGAGCAUCGGAUUCAUAACCCGAAGGUCGGCAGUUCAAGUCUGCUUCCCACUA
rnacentral:tRNA from 1 species